UACGAACGGUCCAAACGUUAUUCGGAAUCACUGGCUUAAAGCGUCCGUAGGCGGCUCGGAAAGUAGGGUGUGAAAUCCCACGGCUCAACCGUGGAAUUGCGCUCUAAACUAUCGAGCUAGAGGAGAUAGAGGUGAGCGGAACUGAUGGUGGAGCGGUGAAAUGCGUUGAUAUCAUCAGGAACACCGGAGGCGAAGGCGGCUCACUGGGUCUUUUCUGACGCUGAGGGACGAAAGCUAGGGAGCGAACGG
rnacentral:rRNA from 1 species